rnacentral:rRNA from 1 species
AUGCCGCGUGUGUGAGAAGGCCUGAGGGUUGUAAAGCACUUUCAGUGGGGAGGAGGAUAGCAUGGUUAAUAGCUGAGCUAUUGGACGUUACCUACAGAAGAAGCACCGGCUAACUCCGUGCCAGCAGCCGCGGUAAUACGGAGGGUGCGAGCGUUAAUCGGAAUUACUGGGCGUAAAGGGUGCGUAGGUGGUUAAAUAAGUUAGAUGUAAAAACCCUGGGCUUAACCUAGGACUGAGAUUUAAUACUGUUUAACUAGAGUAUGGGAGAGGGUAGUGGAAUUUCCGGUGUAGCGGUGAAAUGCGUAAAGAUCGGAAGGAACACCAGUGGCGAAGGCGGCUACCUGGCCUAAUACUGACACUGAGGCACGAAAGCGUGGGGAGCAAACAGGAUUAGAUACCCUGGUAGUCCACGCUGUAAACGAUGUCAACUAGCCGUUGG